rnacentral:hammerhead_ribozyme from 1 species
GCACUGCUGAAGAGUCCCAUGCUAGGACGAAACGACCCGUUUAGUGC